GCCGGGCACGGUGGCUCAUGCCUGUAAUCCCAGCACUUUGGGAGGCUGAGGCGGGUGGAUCACCUGAGGUCAGGAGUUCAAGGAUAGCCUGGCCAAUAUGGUGAAACCCUGUCUCUA
rnacentral:SRP_RNA from 1 species